rnacentral:rRNA from 1 species
GUCCCAGUUCGGAUUGCAGUCUGCAACUCGAGUGCAUGAAGCUGGAAUCGCUAGUAAUCGCGGAUCAGAAUGCCGCGGUGAAUACGUUCCCGGGUCUUGUACACACCGCCCGUCACACCAUGGGAGUCGGGAAUGCCCGAAGCCGGUGGCCCAAUCGAAAGAAGGGAGCCGUCGAAGGCAGGCCGGAUGACUGGGGUGAAGUCGUAACAAGGUAUC